rnacentral:lncRNA from 12 species
AUGAUGUCAUUACACUGGCCCAAGGUGGCCUUGUGGUGGUCAUACAGGGGGUGGCAGGCCCAACCACACUCCUGGGGCCUUGGCGUGAGCUUGGACCGCAGCCUGCAUGAGGGAAUGCAAGGGCAAUCUGACACCAUUGUCGCUGCUCUCUUAGUACAAAAACUGGCACAUAUGGUAAAUGAUCCAAACCAGCAUUUUUUUCCCAGUCCUCUACACAGGAAGGAGAUUUGGAGCAAAACCGGAACAAAGGCCUGUCACGAUGAAGAAGAGCCCCAAGCUAAGCAGAACCCCGGCCACCUACAUCUUUCAUUUCCAUCCCCCUGCCUUGAAAGAGGGAAAUAUAAGAAAACAGGUAUGGGGGUGAGGUUUGAGGAUUUUCCUAAUAUUAAGGAGAGGAGGUUCCCUCUGGGCUGAUAUUAUUGCAGGGAUUAAUUACAGAGGUUUGAGGUCAGGGAACUAGUCACCAGUCCCUGGGACAAAUAGCAUCACUAUUGAAAUGACAAGGCUAACACACGACACAGACUCUGUUUCCCUUCAUCUUGCUCAUUCCUUCGGGAUCCUGAGGAUCAGACUGAAGAGUAUGGGCUGGGGAGGUGCCCUGGGUUUGGGCAUCUCGACCCCAAGGCACAGAGGGGACAGGCCACGCCAGCGACGGAGGGCGGCUGGGGCCACUCUGCAGAGCUUCUCGUCACUUCCUCAGUUUGCAGAGCCGGACAACCCUGCUGUAGGUCAGAAUGUGUGAGUUUCCAAAAUGAAGUUCUGUUUACAUGCUCCAUUAAUUUUAAAUAGUGGCCAAGUGUGCUUCGUGAAGGAUUCCGCUAUCUGGCCUGCACGUCCAGACGCUCGCUAUCUCCCCAAAUGCGUGUGGGUUCUUAGGUCCCUCGGGGUAGACAUCCCCUCUGCACAGAGGAGGCAGUGACUGCUAUUAAGUUUGAAUAUUUAGAUUUCUCACUUCAGUAAAUUUCAUCAGGGAAAGCUUAUUUUCAGGGGAUUAGAAAAUGUUGUUAGGCAUUGUCGGAGGACAGCCAUAGGAAACCAACAGUUUGGAUGAUGGUUUUUCAUUGCCUUUGGUGGUAUGAAGGGUUUAGCCAGCCAGACUGUAUGUUCACACUAUGAUCUGGGGCCCCUGCUCACCUCCAUGGCAGUGGACAACUGGCCAAGCCCCAAACAGAGAUUUGUCUCCCAAGCACACAGCACUGCCUUAAAUGAGGAAUAAUAAAGGGCAUGGAGGGCUUGGGGAAAACA